rnacentral:rRNA from 1 species
GGAGGGGGCAAGCGUUGUUCAGAAUUACUGGGCGUAAAGGGCGCGUAGGCGGCCUGCCAAGUCAGGGGUGAAAGGCCCGGGCUCAACCCGGGAAUUGCCCUUGAAACUGGCAAGCUAGAGUCCGAGAGAGGAUGGCGGAAUUCCCAGUGUAGAGGUGAGAUUCGUAGAUAUUGGGAAGAACACCGGUGGCGAAGGCGGCCAUCUGGCUCGGUACUGACGCUGAGGCGCGAAAGCGUGGGGAGCAAACAGGAUUAGAUACCCUGGUAGUCCACGCCGUAAACGAUGUGUGCUAGACGUUGGAGGUCUUAGGCCUUCGGUGUCGCAGCUAACGCGUUAAGCACACCGCCUGGGGAGUACGGCCGCAGGUUA